rnacentral:rRNA from 1 species
AUUGAACGCUGGCGGCAUGCCUUACACAUGCAAGUCGAACGGCAGCACGGGAGCAAUCCUGGUGGCGAGUGGCGAACGGGUGAGUAAUAUAUCGGAACGUGCCCAGUCGUGGGGAUAACGUAGCGAAAGCUACGCUAAUACCGCAUACUAUCUAUGGAUGAAAGCGGGGGAUCGCAAGACCUCGCGCGAUUGGAGCGGCCGAUAUCAGAUUAGGUAGUUGGUGAGGUAAAGGCUCACCAAGCCGACGAUCUGUAGCUGGUCUGAGAGGACGACUAGCCACACUGGGACUGAGACACGGCCCAGACUCCUACGGGAGGCAGCAGUGGGGGAAUUUUUGGGACAAUGGGCGCAAGCCUGAUCCAGCAAUGCCGCGUGCAGGAUGAAGGCCUUCGG